GAGCGGCGGACGGGUGAGUAAUACUUAGGAAUCUACCUAGUAGUGGGGGAUAGCUCGGGGAAACUCGAAUUAAUACCGCAUACGACCUACGGGAGAAAGGGGGCAACUUGUUGCUCUCGCUAUUAGAUGAGCCUAAGUCGGAUUAGCUAGAUGGUGGGGUAAAGGCCUACCAUGGCGACGAUCUGUAGCUGGUCUGAGAGGAUGAUCAGCCACACCGGGACUGAGACACGGCCCGGACUCCUACGGGAGGCAGCAGUGGGGAAUAUUGGACAAUGGGGGAAACCCUGAUCCAGCCAUGCCGCGUGUGUGAAGAAGGCCUUUUGGUUGUAAAGCACUUUAAGCAGUGAAGAAGACUCCAUGGUUAAUACCCAUGGACGAUGACAUUAGCUGCAGAAUAAGCACCGGCUAACUCUGUGCCAGCAGCCGCGGUAAUACAGAGGGUGCAAGCGUUAAUCGGAAUUACUGGGCGUAAAGGGAGCGUAAGUGGCUUUGAUAAGUCAGAUGUGAAAUCCCCGGGCUUAACCUGGGGAACUGCAUCUUGAUACUUGUUAAGCUAGAAUAAGUUAGAAGGGAGGUAGAAUUUCCAGGUUGUUAGCCGGUUGAA
rnacentral:rRNA from 1 species